AACAAUGAAGUAAUAAAUACAUUUAGUUUCGACCUAAAAAAAGAAUUUUUGAUUCCCUUGUUU
rnacentral:tRNA from 3 species